AUGAGGAGGACAAAGAGCCUUCAGGAAAACUCUUGUUUCACUGAACCCUGCAGCCUGCAGAACUAGGGCAAGGGUAGGAGUUCCAGUAGGGGAAAGAGCAGGUAGACUCUGCAGCUGCCCCAGCUGGGACUCACACCUAAGCUGAUUCUCUUUCCUCUGCACUCCUAAGAAGCAAUUUUCUGUUCCUCUCCUCCCACCACCGUUUACUUUCUGCUGCCUCCCUUCUCCCACUUCCGUUCCAUUUUCUUUCUAGAAAACCCUGGUAUUUAGCUCAGACCAAAUUGCCUCAGCAGAAAGGUGGCCUUGGACAAAACUGGUCCAAGAAUUUGGAGUGGCAGUGCUUGUGGAUUGGCUCUGUCCAGCAAGGCCUCAGCUGCUUAUGCCUCUGCUUUCCCUCCCCUAAUACAGGGGUACCCUGGCUUAUUCAGGGGACUCCUUAGUCCACACCGUGUCACCUGCAUCCCUUAAUCUUUCAUUUUUGGGGUGUGGCCUUGGGAGAUCCUGGGCCGGCCCCUCCAUAGAUCUCCCUAAGUCAGAGUAGUUGCUGGCCCUGGUAGAUUUGACUUGCUCUUGCUCCCCUCGACCUCCAGAGUGGGACUGAAGACAGCGGCCAAGAGACUUGAGUUCAGGACAGUGAGCCAGAGGUUAAGGUUCUUUCCUUUUUUUUGAAAGCCAAAGACCCAGUUUGAAUUGUGCUGCUGCAUUCAUGGUUAGAAGCUUUCCAUGCCUAGGUUCUACGGAAUUUAUUUUCUAUGUGUGUAUAUUUUUAAACUUUGUUUCCUGGGUACUGGGCAUGUGCCUGUCUGAGCCCCAGGUCUGUCCAAACCCCACCAUUCAUUCUGUCCGUCCUCUGGACACUGCCUAAAAGAGUCUCAAGACAGUGCCCUAUGGGGUCCUAGGACUAGGGCCCAUCACUGUUCUCUUCUGCCGAAAAAUGCAGGUUUAAAACAGCUAAUGAGGGCAGAGGGCAGGUGCUUGAUAGAUUAUCUUUUCCUUGCUUUUUUGUUUCUGUUUUGAAAAUGAAAUGGGGUUUUAAAUGGUUAUUUAAAUUCUUUUUCCAAAUAAAGGUUUACCUUUUUUUCCCCC